rnacentral:lncRNA from 1 species
CUGGCCACAGAGAUUGAUCCAGGAUGGGAACAUGGCCCAUUCAGAACACAUACAAAGCAGUGAAUCUUUGUGACUUCUGGGGAAAACACUAUUGCUUAUUGCUUUUCUCUGCAGUCCUGGGAACUUCACGCAUGACAAAAAAAGGAGAGCCUGUCUAAGGAUGGAGCAUUUCUACAGAAAGUGGAGCUAAAGGAUAGAUCCUGAAGCCUGGGAUCAACUGAUCUGCGUCAUGCUGAGGUAAAAGCAGCAUCAAAUGAAGACACCAUCAACGUGCCUCCAGGAAAUGAAGGUCAUUUUAAAUGAAGAUAACGAGGCAUAAUCCAUCAAAUGGUGGUUUCCAUAGAGCUCAAUUUGUUAUUAACAGAGGCCCGUGAAAUCAUAAAUGGAGUAACAUUAAAAGGUUAAACUGACCAAAUGCCAUGAAAUUUUGCGAAGACUUUUAUCAUGGCACCUUCAACAUUUUAUUCAAUCUACUGUUUUUCAUGUAUUUUUUCCUCCUAAACAGUAAGGCCUUUCAGGGCAGUGAUUAUUUUGUUCAUUCUUGUAUUUAUCUUGGUACUUGAUAUAUAGUAUGUAUUUAACAACAAUUGUAGAAUAAACAAAUGAAAGCAUGAAUGAAUAAAUGAAUAUACUUAGGACUCUCCUCCUAAUCACCGUCAGCUACUGAUAAUUGCUUGAAAAACUUAUUUUAACGAAAAGGUCACUAUCUCUGUGAAUGUCUUCCUAGGAAAGAUGAGUAGCAUCUUUCUCUGAGUUCCCACACCACUAAUCAUAUUGUUUUCCUAAUUGUGUGGGCUAUUUCCCCAUGUAUCAGGCAAGUUCUCUGAGGAGAUCUUGUUUCACUUAUCCUUAAAUUUACAGUACAUAGUGCAGUUUGCCAACUACAGAAUUAAAACUUAAUAAACAUGAAUUUGAAACUUGCAUUUAACUUGCUAAUGUAUUUUUACUUAGUAACACAAAUUUAUUGCUUACACAGAAAUUAGUAACAUUUAUAAAAACAAUGUAGCAUUUUGUUUUUAAAAUUGCUCAUGUUAAGUCAAAUUUGGAGACAAUCAUUAUCUAGCAAAUUAAUGCAGGAGGAGAAAACCAAAUACUGCAUGUUCUCAUUUAUAAGUGGGAGCUAAACACUGCGCAAACAUGGCCACUAAGAAGGGAACAAUAGACACUGGGGCCUACCUGAGGGUGGAGGGUGGAAUGAGGGUGAGGAUUCAAAAAACUACCUGUUGGGUAUUACGUUCAUUAUCUGGGUGAUGAAAUAAUCUGUAUAUCAAAAUUCUGCAACAUACAAUUUACCCGUGUAACCAAUGCUGCACAUGUGCCCCAUGAACAUAAGUAAAAGUUAGAAGAAAAAAAUAUUUGGAGGCAAUCAAGUAGAACAUGCUUUAAGAGGUGCUAGAUGUUCAGCCUAAAGUGAUCCUUUUUCAUUGUUCAACUUCUGAAAUUAAUAAAAGGAUAUUCUAGGGACAGGUUCAUGAAUAAAUACUUAUAGACGAUUGUUUGCACAUGGUAAUCUGUAGAAGGC